AUAACGAUUUCGAGCGAGUUGGACAAGCAGGCUUGCCCAGGACGCGCAUCGUUCCUUUAGUGGCCGUUUUUCUUCGUGAACUAGGUCCGAUAGAACAAAACGUUGAUUUUCGUCAUUCGGGAGCCCUUCAGUCACAUCAAUAGACGUCGGAGUUGCACAUCUGUCGCCCUGCUCUCUCUACUGUCUCCUAUUCUUACUUAUUGCUUUAAUUCUUCGAUUUUACUGCCGUUUCUUCUUCAAAAGUACCUUCCUCUCUCUUUAUUUUCCAUUUUUAUCAUUUCUAGGGAUUUUGCUGUUCUAGUUGUUCUCCAUUGAAAUCGCAUUGUUUCCCUUUCUUCUCUCUUUUCUUUGAUGGAUGAUAGUCUUUCGAGAUGGCGAACGUUGCGGAACUUCUUCUUGCCCCCCGGCUCUGUCCCUCCGGCGACGGAUGUCUCAGCUGCAGAAUCCAGAGAAAGUUGACUCUCCGGAUCCUUCUCCGUCCCCUACCCUCGGUGAAAAUUCUGAUAAUGAUUUUGAUCAAAAGGACGAUUCGGCCGAUGGUCCUUCUGAAAACGAUCAGGGUGUCGUGGGGGUGUUCUCUUCUUACCGAGGAUUCUUUGAAGCGUCUGAGGAAGAAAUAUGAUUUUCCUCGAGAUGUAGAAGCGCGAGUUCCGCUUCCGGAGGAGAGACCAUGGUCGUCGCCUUCAGGAUGGGUGUGCUUGAAUAGCUUGUAUUUCUCUCAGUCGAAUUUGUUGUUUCCUCUUCCUCUGCUGCUGACUUCCUAUGCUUAGAACCGUGAUGUAUCUAUUUCUCAUAUGUCUCCGGCCGCCAUUCGUAAUAUGGUGAUUGCUUAGGUUCUUGGUGCGGAGGCCGAUGUCGACGCGAGAUGAUCUCCCAAAUAAAUAUGAUUGCGGAAGAGAAAUUUUCUGUUAGUAUCAAGGCCCGCUGUUAGUUCUUCUUCCAUAUCCGAUCCCUCUGGCGGUCUUUAGGACUGAAUGAAAUCCUCAUCCGGUGGCUCACGCGAAGCAUUGGCCUCUUUCAUCGAAGUACUGCUUGCUGGGGGACUGGUUCUAGAUCUUCUUUGGUUACAGAGUCUUCGAAGAAGAAGCGGGAAAGUUCACCGAAGCAAAAGAUAGGAAAAUUUAAGAGGAAGAUUCCUGAAUAUUCUGCUGUCAUCAAAGAGUCGGCGCCUGCGCUUUCUUUAGUAGUUUCAAAGGGCGGUGCUUCGUCUUCGUCGGCUUUGGUCUCCAUUUCGGUGUCCGCUUCGGUAAAUCGAUCUGCCGCGAUCUGGAGCUCCUCUUGUGCGUUCUCCUACCGAGAAGUCGGGAGAUGGUUAUGAUCAUGUACCUUCGGUCGAUCCUCCUAAUCAUGGUGCUCCGGUGGUUCCUUCGUCAGUGGUUUCUCUCCCUUGUCCCGAUACUUUGACGUUCACAUGGGAAGUCGGGAUGGCUAAUGUUGACGAGCACAUCGAGCCCAGGGGUCAAAGAAGAGAAACCUGUCUGUUUCUCCUCACGACUCUGAUUCUUUUUUGACGCUUGAGGAGUGCACCAGGUUGCUUCAUGGUUUUUGUUUGCGGUCGAGCUCUAUGCCUCCUCCUGAAGAUAUUUACAUCCAGGGCGAUGAACGCAUGGCAAACUGGUGGCGGUAAAAAUCGUAGUAGGAAAAGGCGGAGUCUCCAAUGAGAGUAUAUAUGUUUUUAUGGGUGUCUUUGAUUAUAAUAGAUGCCCAAACAAAUUAUAUCAGAUCUCAAAUUUCAAAUGCAGAGUCCACGAAGAGGGUAACCAAAAACAAAGUUUGCUAUC